UGGUGGUGAUGUCUAAACUCACGAUGGUCUGCAGAGCCCCCUGUGGUGAAGGAGGACUGCUGAAAAUGCCAGUCUGGCAAUGCUGAACCAUAAAA
ensembl:snoRNA